rnacentral:tRNA from 1 species
GGGGCGGUUGGUGUAGGCGUAGUCGACGCUGAUGUUGGUGCCGUCAGGGCGGGUGAUCUUGGCGAUCUCGCCCUC